rnacentral:rRNA from 1 species
AUUGAACGCUGGCGGCGUGCUUAACACAUGCAAGUCGAUCGGUAACGCGGGGGCAACCCUGGCGACGAGAGGCGGACGGGUGAGGAACGCUUGGGAAUCUGCCUAUCAGCGGGGGACAACACGGGGAAACUCGUGCUAAUACCGCAUACGCUCUACGGAGGAAAGCCGGGGACCGCAAGGCCUGGCACUGAUAGAUGAGCCAAAGCCGGAUUAGCUAGUUGGCGGGGUAACGGCCCACCAAGGCGACGAUCCGUGGCUGGUCUGAGAGGAAGAUCAGCCACACUGGAACUGAGACACGGUCCAGACUCCUACGGGAGGCAGCAGUGGGGAAUAUUGGACAAUGGGGGAAACCCUGAUCCAGCGACGCCGCGUGGGUGAAGAAGGCCUGCGGGUUGUAAAGCCCUUUCGGUAGGGACGAAAGCUCUCGACCUAACACGUCGGGAAGUUGACUUAACCUACAGAAGAAGCACCGGCUAACUCUGUGCCAGCAGCCGCCGUAAAAC